CUGGAAGAUUGUGAGUUUUAUGUUCGAUGACUUCUUUGGUUGAUAGGCUGUUUGGUGUCGUCUUGUGUCUGAAUGAGGGACAACUUGUUGUGGACGUUUGAGAGGUUCUACACUACCUGUUUAUAGACAUGAGAUCAAACAGGGUGGAUGUUUGAGAGGUUCUACACUACCUGUUUAUAGACAUGAGAUCAAACAGGGUGGAUGUUUGAGAGGUUCUACACUACCUGUUUAUAGACAUGAGAUCAAACAGGGUGGAUGUUUGAGAGGUUCUACACUACCUGUUUAUAGACAUGAGAUCAAACAGGGUGGAUGUUUGAGAGGUUCUACACUACCUGUUUAUAGACAUGAGAUCAAACAGGGUGGAUGUUUGAGAGGUUCUACACUACCUGUUUAUAGACAUGAGA